GCUUUAAUAGUAUAACCAUUACCUUGGCCUUGUAAACCAAAAAUGAAGACC
rnacentral:tRNA from 1 species